GCGCCGGGGGGGUGGCUUUUCCCUGCCCCCCCCCGGGGAGACCCGCAGCGAGCGCCCAGGGGUGGCCCUGGGAGCCCCCGGGGUGGCCACACGCACGGGCGGGCGGGGCACUGCGGGGGAGGAGGUGCACGACGCCGGCCCGAAACUGUGCGGGUCACCACGGGUUUUGCUGAGAGGAAACUCUUGGUUUUAGGGCGUUUGUGCCCGAAAGCGUGCGAUUAAGGCCUUUUUUUUUGCAAGGGAAACUUGUGUCGGCGUCGGGUUUUUGUGCCCGAAAGCUUGCGAUUAAAGACUGUUUUUUUUUUUUUGUGAGGGAAACCUGUGUUGGUUUUAGGGCAUUUGUGUCCAAACGCUUACAAUUAAAGACUUUUUUCUGUGAGGAAAACCUGUGUUGAUCUAGGGCGUUUGUGCCCAAAAGCGUGCGAUUAAAGACUUUUUUUUGUGAGGAAAACCUGUGUUGGUUUUAGGGCGUUUCUGCCCAAACGCUUACAAUUAAAGACCAUUUUUUUUGCAAGGGAAACCUGUAUUGGUUUUGUGGCGUUUGUGCCCGAAAGCGUGCGAUUAAAGACUGUGAGGAAAAUCUGUAUUGGUUUUAUGGCGUUUGUGCCCGAAAGCGUGCGAUUAAAGACGGGUUUCCCUCACAAAAAAAUGGUCUUUAAUCGCACCCUAGAUCAACACAGGUUUUCCUCACAGAAAAAAGUCUUUAAUUGUAAGCGUUUGGACACAAACGCUCUAAAACUAAUACAGGUUUCCCUCGCAAAAAAAUGGUAUUGGUUUUAGGAUGUUUGUGCCCGAAAGCUUGUGAUUAAAGACUUUUCUUUCAAGGAAAACCUGUAUUGGUUUUAGGGUGUUUAUGCCCUCAAAAGCUUGCAAUUAAAGACAUGUUUUUGCGAGGGAAAUCUGUAUUGCUUUUAGGGUGCUUGUACCCAAAAGCUUGCGAUUUAAAGGAAAAAAAAAUUUGGUCUAGGGUAUUUGUGCCCAAAAGCUUCAAUUAAGGAAAUGUUUUUGCAAGGGACACUUGUAUUAAUCUAGGGCGUUUGUGCCUGAAAGCUUGCAAUUAAAGAUUUUUUUUAAUUGUGUGAGUGAAACCUGUGUUGGUCAGGGGAUGUUAGUGCCCGAAAGCUUGCAAUGAAAGAUUUUUUUUUUUUUUUUGCAAAGAUCUUGUUGGUCUAAUAAAAGAGAUCCCCUCCGUCCACGAGCUCCGAUAGGACUUGAGUUCAAGGCUUUGUUUCAUUAACCAUUCUCCUGUCUCUUCCCCCACCCGAAAAAAAAAGCAUAGGUGCAUUUCUAUUAUUUCGGUCUCAUUUUAUGGAUGCCAGAUCCUUUGGCCUGCUCUGCUGCUCCUGGCCUCUUGUUCUUGUAGAGUAAAUGCUAGCAUAGAGGGCAUUGCACGCUCAUUUCUUGGAGGUAUCAUUGAAUCUGGGGUUGUGUGAGCCAUCGAGUGUCGUAGGUAAACAGCACGAGGUUUAAUUCUCGGGCCUGCGAUGCAGAAACGUAAUUCGGGUAAUCUUCCAAAUCUGCGUUACUCCAUUUUGCAACCUCAACUGAAGCAUUAGGUGAAUAGUUCUGUUUUUAACAAAACUCAUUAUAAUUAAGGAGUACUUGUGUAGUAAGGGCCUUUAAAAACUAAUCCUCACAGUAUUCAUGUGAAGUAUAAGUUAAAUUUAAAAAGUACAGUGGAAACGAGACACAUAAGACCCCUUUUUUCCAUAACAUGGGUCCUAGAGCACGUGGCAUCUAUCUUUAAACAAAAACCAAUUAACUCUAGCUGAGCUGGGGUUCAGCUAUAGCAAUUUUAUUGCUGGUCUACUCAUGAGUUAGGUUUUAAAAGGGGAAGGAGAGCUGCUGUAGUAGGGAGUUUGACUCCCCCCUAGGUAAGACCUCUACAUGGUCACAAAACAUCAGACAUGGCAAGUAAAGAUGCUGGAAUUAGACUAAUCCCAGCUAGAGAAACUUGUUGUUCAGGAACAGCCACUUUGGAAAUGCGUUAAGCGAAAUCAAAAAAGGACACAUUUAUUUUGGAGUAAAGUGUCCAUACAUAGAGUUACUCGAAAGUAGCUAUUACACUUAAAAUAUAUGCCCUAUCUUAUUCUGUUACAAAGUUUAUGUGCAAAUGAGACCCUAAUAGUGGUCUCUGCAAAUUAUUUCAUAGACAUUAGGGUGGAAGAGACCUCGAGAGAUCGAGUCCAGCCCCCUGCCCAAAGGGCAGGAAGUCAGCAGGGGUCAUAGGAUCCCAGCAAGAUAGACAAACUAGAAGGUCUGUUUAUCAGUUAUAUAGUGGAUACUUCUGGAAUUGACGCGGAGGCUUAGUGCUGUGAAAGCGUGUGUGUGCUGCAUGGUUUCAGCAGGGAUGACCAAGGUAUAGGUCACAGAGCUGUCAUCUGGCCUAUGGCACUCCCCCUGGGCCUGGAAAUUUGACAGUGUGGCAAGUGGUGGCAGCGUUAAUUGGCACAGCUCUCAGAGCUGCGGCAGUCGAUGCUGCCGCCUUUCAUCCCGUCAUAGAUUUCUGGACCACAGAUCUAGAGUGCAGAGCUGCAUCAACUGGCCCGUGGGGCUGGAAAUUUGGCGGUAGGAGGAACAGCAGCUAUUGGGGCUGUGAGAGUCACGGCAAUUAACACUGCUGCUGCCAAUUCUAGCCCUGUGGGCCACAUGAGUUGGGCACCAGUGGACUACAACACGGCUAGGUAAUGAAGACUGAUUGCUUGUUUUGGGUGUUUUCCACUUGCAGAGCAGCCUGGCUGCUUGUGUUACACCAGGGAGCAUUCAGAGUACUUGGCACUUUGUAGGACUGUUAUAUUUAAUGCACCUAAAUGUUGAUUACUUUUUCCCUUUUCAGAUACCUGGUUAUUUCUGAAAAACUUGAAGAAAUUAAAUCUUUCAGAGAACUGACCUGCUUGGAUCUUUCCUGCUGCAAACUUGGAGAUGAACACGAAUUGCUAGAACAUCUCACCAAGGAAGCUCUAUCCAGUGUAACAAGGCUCCUCCUGAAGGAUAACUGUUUAUCUGAUGCAGGCCUUCGCAAAAUGACAGCACCAGUACGAGUAAUGAAAAGGGGACUUGAAAAUCUUUCUGUGCUAGAUUUGUCUUGUAACCCUAAAAUCACUGAUGUAGGAAUUGGAUAUCUUCUUUCCUUCAGGAAGUUAAAUUGCUUGGACAUAUCUGGAACAGGUCUCAAGGACGUUAAGGCAGUUGUUCAGAGGAUCCAGGUACAGCUGGGCCUUGUCCAUUCAAAAGUACCACUGAAAGAAUUUGAUCAUAGUACCUGCAAAACAGAGGGAUGGGCAGAGCAGACCAUUUUGCAGUGGGAACAGUUGGUCAUGGAAGCCAUUAAGCCGAAAAAAAACUUGCAGUGCAGAAGAGCAGCUAGACAUUUCUAUGGAAAGAGAUGCAGAAUAGAAGAACAAGUCACAUGCACGUUGGUGGAGGUGGAAACAAAAGCAACUGGAAACCUGCAGUUCUAUAAGGAGAAAACACAAAACUGCCAUGCCCCUUUGUUGAAAAAGGAGGCUGCAGUUAGCCAUGAAUUGAAGAAAAAUAAAAAGAGAGUUUUGGCUGAACAAGAGACAGAACGGACCUCAAAGCACAUGUGCCUCACCAUGGAAGACUGGGACUUGCUGAAUAGCUAUUGAUUCAGAAAAGAAUUUAUUCCUUGACUGUUAUAUCAAACUGGAUUUUCACAUGGAGAAAGGAGACUGACCUUAUCCAGAUGAUCUGCUCACGAUGGCAUGGCAGCAAAUUAAUUUCUGCCCACGUGCUGGAGACAUGGAUAAUACCUAGAAGGAAUUCAUCGGCACUGCUAUCUAAACUGCCUGAGCACCUCAGUAGCAGAUGACUAGUCAUCUCCGCUGCCUCUGUUCUUCCCUUUAGCAAUCUGGCAACUGUAGUAACAGCAGUUGAAACUGAAAUUGGCUUUAGGUGAGAGAGACUAGUUUGCUUGGUCCUGCUGCUGAUGUGGUGUCACACAACAGAGCCUGAAUUCAUCAGCAUGAUAGUAGUGGUGACUGAUUUGUAUAUUUAAAAUGCCUCAUGACUUG